rnacentral:rRNA from 1 species
GACGAACGCUGGCGGCGUGCUUAACACAUGCAAGUCGAACGGAAAGGCCCUGCUUUUGUGGGGUGCUCGAGUGGCGAACGGGUGAGUAACACGUGAGUAACCUGCCCUUGACUUUGGGAUAACUUCACGAAACUGGGGCUAAUACCGGAUAGGAGCUCCUGCUGCAUGGUGGGGGUUGGAAAGUGUCGGCGGUUGGGGAUGGACUCGCGGCUUAUCAGCUUGUUGGUGGGGUAGGGGCUUACCAAGGCUUUGACGGGUAGCCGGCCUGAGAGGGUUACCGGCCACAUUGGGACUGAGAUACGGCCCAGACUCCUACGGGAGGCAGCAGUGGGGAAUAUUGCACAGUGGGGGGAAGCCUGAUGCAGAAACGCCGCGUGCGGGAUGACGGCCUUCGGGUUGUAAACCGCUUUCGCAUGUGACGAAGCGUGAGUGACGGUAAUGGGUAAAGAAGCACCGGCUAACUACGUG